rnacentral:rRNA from 1 species
GACGAACGCUGGCGGCGUGCUUAACACAUGCAAGUCGAACGGGCCUUGUCCCCUUUUUUUUGGGGGUGGGGUUAGUGGCGAACGGGUGAGUAACACGUGAGUAACCUGCCCCUCACUUCUGGAUAACCGCUUGAAAGGGUGGCUAAUACGGGGUGUUCUGGCCUGCUCGCAUGGGUGGGUUUGGAAAGAUUCGACCGGUUUUGGUUGUUUUGGUGGGGGAUGGGCUCGCGGCCUAUCAGCUUGUUGGUGGGGUGAUGGCCUGCCAAGGCUUUGACGGGUAGCCGGCCUGAGAGGGAGGGCGGUCACACUGGGACUGAGACACGGCCCAGACUCCUACGGGAGGCAGCAGUGGGGAAUAUUGCACAAUGGGCGCAAGCCUGAUGCAGCGACGCCGCGUGAGGGAUGGAGGCCUGCGGGGUGUGAACCUCUUUCGCCAGUGAAGAAGGUCCUGCUCUUUGUGGUGGGGUUGACGGUAGCUGGGUUAAUGAAGCGCCGGCUAACUACGUG